CUGCUGCCUGGAAGCCGCCGAGGAGGGGAGGGAGGGCCCGUGUGACACCCUGGAUCCAGUAACUGGGCAGGCAGAACCUGGAGACUCCCGUUACCUGCACCCCACUCCUGGCCCAAGAAUCGGGCAGCCCCAAGAAAACAACGCUUGAAGAAGCCAGGACCUGGUCAGCGGGGGACAUGCGCAGUCCUGGCGUCUUUCCAGAGAGACCCUGGAGCAGAUAGGAAUUUGAGGCCCAAGAAGGCCGGGUCACACUCCGAGUCCCAUGGGGCGGAGCCGUGGAUUUGCUAUUUGAGAGAGUCUCCAGCGGAAGUCAGAAAUUCACCGUCAGGCUUCUCCAACAGGACGUUUUCGGGGACCCAGACAGAGCUGGAUGGAAAACCUGAGUCACUCUGACAUCACGUCCUGUGGUCCCAGCACGGCCGUGGCAGAAACUUGGCUAAAAUGUCACACUGGUCACCUGCUCUCUGCAGAAGCCACUGCCAGAGGGGCAGGGGCCGCAUUCGCUGGGCCUGCUGGUUGUGGACAGAGCAGAUUCUCCGGGCCAGGGCUGGAGCCCAGGGCUCCCCGGUGAGGCGCUGGGGUGUGGGUGGGGACGAGGUGUCUGUGCCCAGGCUUGGCUUCUGAUGGCUCACAGGGUGGGGCCUCCGCGCGCUGGUGCCUGGCGUGUACCCUUGUUUCUCUUUCAUAGGACAGAGAGAAGAAACGGUUGCAAUUUUGAGCCCCUUGGAUCCAGUUUCUGCGGGAAUUGUGGCGAAGCACUCAGAAGGCUGAGGCAGGAAGACCUCCAGAAGUUCAAGUCUGAGGCCAGCCUGGGCUACAAAG